UAAAGUUCUGUGAUGACACUAUUGUGGACUAGAGUUUCUGAUUGGGGCACUUCACCCUAAUAUUUGAUUACAAACCCUUGGCUGUCUGAGAACUUUU